GUUCAAAAAUGAGGUUAAACUUACUGCAAAGUUGCAACAUAUUAAUCUAGUGAGACUUUUUGGAUUUUGCACUGAAAGGGGAGAGAAAAUGUUGAUCUAUGAGUAUAUGCCUAACAAAAGCCUUGAUCUCUACCUAUUUGGUAUGUGCAUAUAUUAUGUUACAGUUUUACUUGUUCAAUUCAUUCCUUGAGUGACAGAACUAUACAUGUUCAUAAUUCUGUUGUGAUGUAGACCAUAAUAGAAGAUUGAAAUUGAAUUGGGAACAACGCAUUCACAUCAUUGAAGGUAUUGCUCAAGGGCUUCUAUACCUCCAAGAAUACUCAAAUUUUACAAUAAUUCACAGAGAUAUUAAAGCCAGCAACAUUUUGCUGGAUAAUAAGAUGAAGCCAAAGAUUUCUGAUUUCGGCUUGGCAAGAAUUGUGCAGAAGGAAUGCAAGGAAACCAAAACAGGCCGUAUUGUUGGAACAUAUGGCUAUGUACCUCCUGAAUAUGUGAGACAUGGCAUGUACUCGAUGAAGUACGAUGUUUACAGCUUUGGAGUUCUGCUUCUGCAAAUCAUAAGUGGCAAGAAGAAUAACUGUUUUUAUGGUUGGGGCGAAAAUCUUAACCUUUUGGAAUAUGCUUAUGGUUUGUGGAAAAUGGAAAAUGGCAUGGAGUUUAUGGAUGAAACACUAGACCAUUCAUUUUCACCCUGCAAACUCUUGAGAUGCCUGCAAGUAGCCCUUUUAUGUGUACAGGAAAGUCCAACAGACAGGCCAUCAAUCUUGGAAGUUUAUUCCAUGCUAAAAAAUGAAAAUGUAGCCAUUGCUUAUCCUAAAACACCUGCUUUUUCUGUCAAAAGUGGCGAAGUCAAAGAAAAAAGCGUUUGUUCCAUAAAUAAUGUAUCUAUUUCUCAGAUGGUGGCCCGAUGACUUUGUCUUUUAUCGGUGUCUAUUAUUAGAUCAAGAAUUUUGUUCUAUCAACAAUGUAUCCAUUACCCAAAUGUU
rnacentral:misc_RNA from 1 species